CGCCAUGAGAGUGAGGGAUAUGUAAAUAACCGUUAUGCUGAACGGGGGAGAUGGUGUCAAUGUAGUGGGAGGAACCUGGUGCGGUAUUAACUUCAGCGCAAACUAAUUUACCAUUAUUUCAAAUGAAUUGUUUCUGUGCUAUAUAACACAUGUAAUUGGUUUAUAUGUAAUGAUUGUUAGGAUCAGGACACAAUUGGCAAGGGCAGCUGUUACUUCCCAUCCCUCAUUGAGAAUGUGGUGGUGAGCCAGUAGCAGUCCUCCCAGUGAAGGUUCAGCUACAGUCCUACGGAGGAGACCCAGCAACAAUGAAGGAUUGCAAUGUAAUUUACAAGUCAGAAUGAUGUGCGACUUUGAAGGGAUCCUGCAGGCAGUGGUGUUCCCAUGCUCCUGCUGCCCUUGUCUUUCCUGGUGGUAGUGGUCAUGGUCUUGGGAGGUACUGCCAGAGUACAAGUGGCCACAGUGCAAUCUUGUAGGUGGUGCAGAUAGCAGACUCAGUGUGCCUGUGGUGAAGUAAAUGAUAAAUGUGGUGCAUUGGUUGCCAUAUAAGGAAGCUGUAUUGUCCUAGAUGGAGUCGUGCUUCUAGAGAGUUUGUGCAGCACUCAUCAAGGAGACUGGAGAGUGUUCCAUCACACUCUUGACUUGUAUUUUGUAGAUGGUUGAAAAGGUGUGGGUUGACAGGAAGUAAGUGAUUUGCCCAGCAUACCCAGCUUCUGAGUUGCUCUGGUAUGAGGCUGGUGCAGGUGAGAUUCUGGUCACAGGUAACCCCCAGGAUAUUGAUGCCAGUGGCUCAGUGAAUAUAACAUCACUGAAUGUGAUAGCAGGUUGGAUCUCUUGUUGAAGAUAGUCAGUCAUUGGCUUGCACUUUUGUGGUAAGUACAUAACUUAUGCAAUAAUCAGAAAACAUGUUCCCCUGUCACCAUGUGAUCAAGGGAGGUCAUCGAUGAAGCAGUUGGUGAUGAUUUGACUUGGGACACCACACAGUCUGGAAUGAUUAUCCUCCAAUAAGCACCACCACAUUUCUUUGUGUGCAUUCUGGCUUCAACCAGUGGAGAGGUUUCUAUUUGAAGCCCAUUGGCUUUGAUUUUACCAGGGCUCCUUGAUGUCACAUUCAAUCAAAUGCUGGCUUGAUAUCAAGAGCUGUUACCCUCAUCUCACUUGGUUUGUUUAUCAACAUUACUCUUUCUUUGGAUAUGAUCGUUCAAUAAAGCUGAUGCUUACUGCCCAUUCUUAAUUGAUGGUAGAGCACCGCUGGAGUUCAUGUAGUAGGUGAUUGUGAAAGUUUGGACCUCCAGCAUUUUGACCUAGCAAUAACAAAAGAUCGGUAACAUAUUUCCAAGUCGGGGAGAAACACGGUGGGUGAGGCAGCAUCUAUGGAGCGAAGGAAAUAGGCAACGUUUCGGGUCGAGGCCCUUCUUCAGACUGUCGGGAUGAUGUGUUUUAGAAAGGAACAGGCAGCUGGUGGCAAGCUAAUGAGUCUGCUGCCUUUUUCUUUCUGGGCAAAAGGGUUUGAAAGUUUGGAUUAAAGGAAACAUUAAUAAGUUGCUAUGGAGGUAAACACUGGAGUCGAGUGUGAAUGGUGGAGCAGUGAACAAUUAAAACAGUGAAUGGGGAUACUAACUAAACACGCUUCUUCCUUCUGGAUGGUGUUAAUUUUCUUAAAUGUUUCAACUGCACUUAUCCAGCAAGUGGAGAUUGAGAGAAUAUGUGUGCAUACAUUAUGUUUACGGAAUGUUUCUAUGUGUCUAACUGGAACAAGUUUUAUCCAGGGUGAUAACUCCUGGAUUGGGUAGCAUAUUCAUGCCAUUGUCUGCGCCCUUGUAUGAGGACUGAUCUCUUGAGCACUGAAGCCAGUGAUUAUGGAAUCAAGCCCAAGAAAAUAGGUCAAAGUCUUCCGAUGGAAAAGGGUCGGAAUCUUCACUGGGAGAAGGAUGUGUGCUUUUUCUGAAGCUACUGGAAACAAAUGCCAGCCCACAGAAUGCACAUCAUGGGAUCAGCUGAAAGCAAAAUGUAACUUUCCUUUCCAACUGGAGCAUUUAGAAAUUCAAUGGCUGUGGUGUCUCAAUACACAUCUAACUCAAGUGAGACUGAUUCUGUGGUAUUUAAGAUGUUUACAGCUUUGGGAAUAAACUGCCAUUUUAUCUAUAACUGCAUUUGAAUGGUGUGACGGGAUUGAUGGACCUUUUGUCACACUUUGUCAUAUGGCAUUUCUGCUGUUCCACGGCAGGAACAGAUUUUGAUUUGUUUACUGUCAGGUCCAAAGAGUGGACUCAGUCCUCAGGUGUGAAAUUACAAGAUGUUUUCAAUUAAGGGAACUCUGAGAAGAAUGGGAAAUCUUAAAGAAGGUGCUUAUUUAACAAAGCAAUAAAGUUAAGCUUUCUAAUGUAUUUUUGCUGAUUCUCUCGUGGCCUUGCUUGCAGAAUAUGUUUGUUUUUGAUUCCAAGUAUGUGCUAAGAUAGUUGAUCUAUGCCGGAAAACUGUUGGUUUCAGUGACUUUAAAAAUGUAAGAGAAUACCAGAUUCCUGCUUCUAAUUGGCUUUAUAUUUUCACAGGAUGUGGACAUCACUGGCAAUGUCCACAUUUAUUGUCCAUCCAUAAAUGCCCGUGCACUGAGGAGGCCAUUAAAAGUCCAUCCCAUCGGUAGGUUCUGCAGUUACAUGUAGGCAGGACUGGGUAAGGAUGGCAGAUUUCCUCUCGUGAAGGAUAUGAGCGAACUGGGAUGUCCACUGCCAUUUAUCGUGCUAGUUGGCUAAAGGCUAACCACACAGAGGGUAGGACUGCUCAAGGAUCAAGCAGCAAAUGUGUGCUUGAAGUCUGGGGAUGCAGUUGGGGUUAUGGAAAGGAUCGAAUUCCUUAAAUCCUGAACAUUUCAAGCUAGCACCAGCGAGCAAAUCACCCAGCUUUGUGCCUGAGAGCUAUCUCUCAUUAAUGUCUGCUGUGCCUAAUCCUCGGCUUCAGUGAAUUAUUCUUCAUUCCGGGGCAACUUCAAACAACAUGAGAUUCAAAUGUUACACAUUCCUUUGGUUGCCGAUGUCUCUGGAAACUGGAUUCCUAAACCAUGGGCCACUGUGGAAAGUCAGCUGGCUCCUUGAAGGACUUCAACAUUCUUGAGCUCAAGACACAUUGUGCUGAAGAAUACGCCUCUGCGAUCUUCCCUCCCCCCAUUGCAGAGAAUAAGGGAAAGUGAGAUGGGGAAGAACCAUGCCAGAGAUGGGGUGGUUAAAUGUAUGGGAGUAACAUGCAUCAUGGACUGGGCAUGGGGAGGUUUAGACAGACGAUUAAUGACAUUCAGGCAAAUGCCAACUUGGAGGCGGAAUCUGACUGAUAAUUGGAUUUUUGAAAAGUGAUUGGUUGUUGAUCAGAUGACAGACAGUAGGGUCGAUUAUGAGAGGUUUGGGUUGGUGAUGGGGAGGUGGGUUAGGCCAAUUGAUGGCAAUGUUGUGUGGAUGAUGGGGAAGUGCUUCACCCAAAUGUCUGGGGCCAUUGAGGACAACGGUGAUACUUACAUGAAGGUAAAGGCUAUUGAAAGCUAGCAAAAGAUGUUUGAUUUUGAUAUUCCCCAUAGAUCAACAUGGUGCCUAAGAACUCAUUAUGUCAAUUACCAAGCAGUUUGCUUUCCUCAUCUUCAUCAAGUUGGGUGCCAGUGUUAAGUAUGUCGAUCUGUCAAUUCAGUGUAUAAAUCUUGAAUUAUC